rnacentral:rRNA from 1 species
GACGAACGCUGGCGGCGUGCUUAACACAUGCAAGUCGAACGCUGAAGCCUAGCUUGCUGGGUGGAUGAGUGGCGAACGGGUGAGUAACACGUGAGUAACCUGCCCUCUUCUUUGGGAUAACGCCCGGAAACGGGUGCUAAUACUGGAUAUUCACUGAUCUUCGCAUGGGGGUUGGUGGAAAGGUUUUUUCUGGUGGGGGAUGGGCUCGCGGCCUAUCAGCUUGUUGGUGGGGUGAUGGCCUACCAAGGCUUUGACGGGUAGCCGGCCUGAGAGGGUGACCGGUCACAUUGGGACUGAGAUACGGCCCAGACUCCUACGGGAGGCAGCAGUGGGGAAUAUUGCACAAUGGGCGAAAGCCUGAUGCAGCGACGCCGCGUGAGGGAUGGAGGCCUUCGGGUUGUAAACCUCUUUCGCUCAUGGUCAAGCCGCAACUUAGGGUUGUGGUGAGGGUAGUGGGUAAAGAAGCGCCGGCUAACUACGUGCCAGCAGCCGCGGUAAUACGUAGGGCGCGAGCGUUGUCCGGAAUUAUUGGGCGUAAAGGGCUUGUAGGCGGUUGGUCGCGUCUGCCGUGAAAUCCUCUGGCUUAACUGGGGGCGUGCGGUGGGUACGGGCUGACUUGAGUGCGGUAGGGGAGACUGGAACUCCUGGUGUAGCGGUGGAAUGCGCAGAUAUCAGGAAGAACACCGGUGGCGAAGGCGGGUCUCUGGGCCGUUACUGACGCUGAGGAGCGAAGGCGUGGGGAGCGAACAGG